GAAGGGAAACUUCUGAUAAUACUGGAUAAGUUAGUAUAUCGCAUGAUAUGCAAAUGAAAGCUACGGCACUAAAGGAGAGCUUUGCGUCCUAUUAGCUAGUUGGUAAGGUAAGAGCUUACCAAGGCGAUGAUAGGUAGCCGGCCUGAGAGGGUGGACGGCCACAAGGGGACUGAGAUACGGCCCUUACUCCUACGGGAGGCAGCAGCU
rnacentral:rRNA from 1 species